rnacentral:lncRNA from 1 species
CUUUAUCUGAAGCCUUGGCCAGAGGUCCUCUUCAGGUGCCUCUGCAGAGACCUCCUUAUCUGGAGGAGGAGGAGGAAACCUUGAAGACACUUUUCCCUCUCUGACUCAGGACCCAAUCCUUUUCCACUUCUAGUCCUUCUCUCACCUUCUCUCAACUCCAGAACCCAUAAGACUGCCAGAGCUCUUGGUUUGGGGCUCCCUCAACAGGGAGGCGACCUCUACAUCUGUGCUUAUCCAUCUGACCCUCCACCAGGGGGAAACUGGGACAGGGGAAGGCAGCAUUUUCUCUGGUUUCAGACUCUUGCUUAAACCAUCACAGUAGGUGAUUAGAGGCUUAACUGUCAUUUUUGGCUUUUUGCUUUAAUCGGCUGCUCUGACAACGGACAGCUCAGCUCUCUCUCCCAGCCCAGCUGAGCUCCUGACAAGUCUCAGGCCCAAAUCACCUUAAGCCAAAGGAUAGUUAAAAAUAAAAUCAAGUAACCAUAGUUUCAUUUCAGAAAACAUAAGUGAAGUGCCUGCCGUAUUCCGGGCACUGUAUCAGGCUCUGUGACAUAGAUAUGAACAAACCAUGGUCCCUGCCUUUGAGGAGUUCAUGGUCUGAAGGGGCCUAGACGGUCAACAGUUCAUUUCAACAGAAUGAUUCAAAACUUGACAGAGACCAUGUUUCUAUACCUCAAACACCAAAUCCAGUUCCUGGAAUAAGAGGAGAUGCUCAAUGUAUGUUUACUGAAUGAACGACCAAGAACGUUCAUGUCACCAUCUCAUCCCCAUGCAGAAAGUCUCCUUGUGCUGGACGUCGAGGCAGAGACAGAUUAUAAACCUUCAGAUUCCAAAGACUUCAAGCAAAUGAGUCAUGCUGGGAUGAUCUAAGAAGGGGCAGGAGAUGGCUGCUGGAUGGCAGGAGGAGAUAUUUGAAGAGUUUGAAGUACUGUGUCUUACAGGGAGAACACAAACCCCAUGUGGAGACCCAGAACUGUAGUGGCCCUGCCUCCAGCAUGCUCUACUCUUGUCGGAACCAGAUGUGCAGAAGGUCUGCUUCCACAAGCCAACAAGUUCUUCAUAGUUUCUCACUGAUAUCAAGAGACAGAUAGAUGAAGGAAAGCCACAGAGGAAAUUUGUUCAACUCAAGAAGCACUUGUUGAAAAGCGACAAGGGUGAAGUGCUGGAAAACGAGCCAGCUGUUGCCUCUUGUGGCUGUUUAUUUUCUGCAGUGUCAUCAUUUUCUGAGCGCCUCGUGUGGGCUUGUGAAAAAAUUUUUUUUAAAAAAAGUGAGAAACUAGGACAAAUUUCAUUCAUUACAGACCUUUUCUUGGAGGUAAAAUGGAAUUGCAGCCAAAAUUAGUGAUCUUCACCACCAUUCUACUGUCCACCACACAGCUAGUGGAUUUCAGACGCCCGUGGACUUCUAUCUUACUGGAGUGCAGAUAUGACAUCCCCUGUAAUUUUUCAGACAACAGGAAAACAAAGAGGUCUCUUACCUUAGCAAUAUCAUACAAGACAGAGAUCUUAAACUCCCAGUCCAUGAACGUACCAUCAGGGUAGGAAAUUGUGUCGUUUAAAACUUCCUGAACAGGAGAAAAAGGAAAGGAACAAGGAACAUUCGGUGGCUUUCAGCACAAGAAGAUGAGCAGGAGAUACCCAUGGUGUUCCAAAUUCCAGGUUCUUCCCCCAGACCCGGGUAAAGGAAUGGGCAGACACCUCCCUGGAGAGUGGGCUGAUUCGCCCUGAGCUAACAUCUGCUACCAAUCCUCCUCUUUUUGCUGAGGAAACAUCUGUGCUUAUCUUCCUCUAUUUUAUACGUGGGACGCCUGCCUCAGCACGGCUUGAUGAGCAGUGCUAGGUCUGCGCCCAGGAUCCAAACCAGCGAACCCCAGGCCGCUGAAGCAGAAUGUGCGAAUUUAGCUGGUACACCACCGGGCCGGCCUUGAUAAUUUUUGUUCACUGCUGUAUCUGCAACAUCUAGUUCAGUGUCUGACAUGGAAUAGAUGCUUAAUAAAUAUUUGUUGCGUAAAUGAAUCGAUUGUUCCUAAACAAGGUUAGCCAAGGUUACAGCAUAUUUAUAAGAUGGGAAACAUAUCAUCUUUACUCCGUCUAGGGAAAAACUUUAUCAUUUGUUUCCUCACAAAAGUGGAUUCUGAUGGGAUUUGCCGUGGUCUGAAGCCUAAAGGGAUGGCACCAGGGAGGGGGCUGUAGUUUGCCUGGGCAUAGCCUUUGCUUUGAGAUUCAUGGUAGAAAGGAGCAGAUAAGCUUCCUGUGGGAGCUCGUGCUGCUGUCUGCUCCGAAGGUGAGUAAGCAACUCCAGAAGGGGGCCCAGGACCACUCAGAUGUCUGAAGUUUCCCACCUUAGGGCAGAGAACCAAAAACACUAUGGGCACGAUGCCUACAUGUUGACCGGGCACUUAGGGAGUAAAAGACCAUGUGAAACCCUUUGACCAGGCUCUGUUAUCUGUAUUCUAAAAUUUCUGUCUCACUGAAAUUAAAUGAAUCAGAGUAUGGUCUAGCCCUCAUAUGGAAAACAUUUCUAAUUUUGAAAGACUUGAAAUCAUUAUUAUUAAAAAUGCUUUAUCUGAAUGAUAAAUUUUUUAUUUAAAUGAUCAUUUUUAGCAUCAAUUAGAAUGAUCAUAUGGUCCUUCCUCUAUGACCUUUUGAUAUGAUGCAUUAGAGUAAUAUUUUUUCCAUUGAUGGAAUUAACCAUAUCUGAUUGAAUUAUGCUUUUUAUGUACAACUGGCUUACAGUUACUAGUAUUUUAUUUAUGAUUUUUUCCAUCAAUAUUCAUAAAUAUAGUUAGCCUUUAAUCAUAUUUUAGUAUCAGCUUUAUGCCAGCCUUACUGAAUAUUAGAUGAAUUUAGAUGACGUUCAUGUUUUUGUUUAACUUUAGAAUAGUAUUUAUUUAGACAAUGAGAGCUAUUCAUUGAAGUUUAGAAGAAUUAGCCAAAUCUGGUAUUGUCUGAAAUGGAAAUUAUGAUUUCUUCUAUUGUUAUUGGCCUACUUAAGUUUUUACUGUUUGAAUCACAUUUUCAUGAUUUUAUUGCUUCCAAAAUUUUACCUUUUUUUAGAUUUCAUAAUUUAACAGUCAUGAAGUAUUCUUUCACAAUCAAAAGCAUCUUUUUCGUAGCUUUAUUUUUUAUUCCCAUUUUUGUGUAUUUUUAUGUCUGUUUUAAAAAUUUUAAUUAGAAGCAUGAGAGGCUUGUAUGUUUUAUAGUUUUUUCUUAAAAAACAAACAACUCGAGUGCAUUGUAAAAUUCUACCAAUUUAUAAUGAUUGAAUUUUGAAAGUUUCCUUUUCUUAGUCCAUAAUUUUUCUUCUAAAUUUUGCAUUGAAUACUUAGUUUAUUAUUAUUAUUAUUAUCAUUUUAAAGAGAGAGUAGCAUUUAGGGGUAUGAUUUUUUUUCUUUGACAAUAGAUUUGAGUUUAUGCCAUACAUUUUGAAAGUGAUUAUUCUUUAUUUUUGAUUGCAGCUUAUUGAAAAAUUAAACAUUUCUAGGUGAUUAGUUUAAAUUUUUAAAAUUGCUUUUAAAUUUCAUUGAAUUAUGAAUAUUUGGACCCCUUUGAAGCUGCUGCUGCCCCCAAUCUUAGGAUUUUGGCUUUGUUAUGGGGUAGACAUGGAGGUUAUUAAGAGAUACUGGGUCUGAAAAUAGCCCAAAGGCAGGGGGACCACACCUCCUGGUUUGCUUGAGGCCAGAUGCAGUUUAUGUCUGAUGUUUGAAUGUAAUUAUUACAGCACCCCUUUUCACUCUUAAAGUAUCCUGGUAAAUUGUAUGGUCACCUAUACAAAGUUAUUUAAAAGGAUGAAAGCUCUCAUAACACAUGCCCGGCAACUGCUUCAGGUGAGCUUCAAAUAUUUCUAUUCUCUUUGAAGCAACUGUCUUCAAUUUCUUCCUGCUCCUGCUCUUUCCCCAUUCAGUCUUGUUUCUGCUUGACACCUUACUUUGUUUCUAGUAUAUGAAUGUUUCUUGUAUAUGCCUGCCCUUCUGAACUAUUCAGAUUUGAUAUUCCCAGCUUGACGCUUGGUUCUUCCCAAGAACUUGGUUCAGUCCUGUCCUACUUUCUCUUUCUGCUUUGAAUUUGCUCAGCCAGAAUAUCUGACCCCAUCUGGCAAGUCCUGUGCAUCCUCAAUCCCUCAGAAGGGAGAGAAGGGUGGGAAUUUAAACAGUCACAGCAUCAGGACUUAUGAACAAGUCUCCAAAUGCUUAUUUGGUGCCAUCAUAAUGACCAUCCAUUUUUCUUUUAAUACAAAAGCAAGUAUGCAAGUAAAAUAAAAUGAAUUUAGAUGUAAUCACUCACUUUUCCACAUCUGUUCUCUGUUUUUUCAAGUCUACAUUCCUGAAUAAUUUUUGGCUUGUUUUUCUGUAAAAAGUUGUAAUAGGAUUGAUUGGCAAAAGCUGAGUGAUCUAGUUGGGUGAGCAUAUGGACCCACCGACUUUUCCUAAUAAUUCUCUGAUAUUAUUUCACUGGGUGAACAUUUAAAAUUUCUCCUAAAUAUAUAUUUUUUUCCAUAUGGUUGACCGGUUAAAAAAUUGGAAAUGAUCAUUCUUCCUUACCCGGAGGGAUCCUCUCUCACAGUACUCAAUCACUCCAAAGAUCGUGGUAUCAAGCUUCACUGUGCCGUAGAACUUGGUUAGGUUGUAAUAGUCAAUCUGAAGCAACUGAGAUAACAUGUUUAUUUACAAAGCAAGUCAGCCAGAAAGGAGUGCCAGAGUGGAAAUUUACAUGCUAAAGAAACAUGUCAUGGUUUAGAUCUUUGGGAAGAUGUAUUGCUCUUGACACAUUGGAAUGUCAGUACAUUUCUUACUAUACAUUGCGUUAUAUCUUUCUUUUGUCAGCAAGGGGACUUGAAGACAAACCUUUGACUACUCUCAAAUAGCAUCAGGACCAUUUUCUAGGACAUGCUAGUAGAUUUCAAACAUGUUUUACACCAUCAAAUAUCACUCUUCAACAACUGUUGGAAGAAUUUUCAACAAGAAGUACAGUCACCCAUUUCUUGGCCUGAGGGCUUCUCUGUCAGCACCCCCCAAUAAUGCUUUGCUCCACCAAGGACCUCAUUGCUUAGGGAAAGUGUAGUGAAGCUAUUUGUCACUUAAGGGUUUCAAGUAAGGGACACAUACCUUGUUCAAUUCUAUUUUCUGUUUCUCAGUGAAAUUGCCAUCAUUGUGCUUGAGAUCCUUUAAAAUCACUCGCUGCAAAGAUCAAUUGAAUUAAGGAGAUAAUGUUGUAGCAUGACCACUUAAAUACAUAUUAUAAUAAUUUGUGUGUCUGUCUUCCAACUAUACUGUAAGCUCUUGAGAACAGUGACGGUAUUUUAUUGAUGUUUAUAUCCCUGGUGCCUAGUACUUGGAAUAUGGGAGGCUCAAGUUUGAAUGUUUCUUUAGGAAUUACUAAAUGAAAAGGAAGGAAGGUAGGUAGGAAGGAAGAAGGGAAGGAAGGAAGGAAGGAGAGAAAGAUGGAAGGAAGAAAGAUGCAAUCCCCUAGUAUGGGACUGUCAUUUUCCCACUGCAAUGAGCCAAAAUAUAAUACUAGGGUUGCGUGGACAGCUCUGAACCUCUUUUGUUUUUCCUUUUCCUUCCUACACUCCACCCCUCUUAAAAAUUCUAUUUGUCCUUCAAUUUCCCCAGGAUUGUGAGUUUUGGAACCGCUGAAGCAGAGCCCUGCCCAUUCCUGUGAAAGGCUCCAAGAGCAGCCCCUUGGAGCAACCUGCACACCCACCCCAACCUUUGCACUGCCAACCUUGGAAGUUGGGGCAAUGAUGAGUCAGAAAGCCCAGAACAUACCCUGAGAGUUCAGAGAAGCAGGGGAGACUAUAGUCACCUUUUUGUCGUAUUUGCACUGUUGUAGUCUCUGAAUUGUAUCUCGUCUCUUGUCAUCAUCAAUCUGGCACAAGAAAAGGCUAAUUAUUCCAGAAGCUCAUAUCUUGUCCCAUCCACUGCCAGUCCAAAGCUGAGAGGCUCUGCCAGGCGAGCUAUAUCUGCUAUUCACUCACAGGAUGCUAGGCAGGCUCCCAGAGAGACUGUUAUAACUGACUUGUGUUUCCCUCUGCCUACUGGCCUUUCCUCGCCAACAAAACUUUCUUUCCAGGUAUCAAUCACUCUCAUGCUUAACUCUGGGUUCUCCUCCCUUCCACUUACUGUGCUACUUUUCCACCUUCUUAUGGCCUACUUCAGCCAAGGAUUUUCUUUGCUUCCUUCUCCCCCUGCCCUCCUCCUAUUGGAAAUCAUUGUCUGUAGCUACAUACAGAUGGUCUUAGGGGAGCGUGUUGUGCAUUUGGGUUGCAAACUCAUGCCUAAAGGCCCAAGUAGCAAUGUGAGGGAGGACACUGGGCCAGGUGUCUAAGGGGGGCAGCCCCAUCAGCUCUAGUCCAGCCUAGAGUGGCUAGAUCAUCUGACUUGUCAAAAGUAGUUGCUAAUAUGGAUUUUUCUAAGCCAUUCUGAGAUUUUUAUAUUUGGCAAUUAAUUUUAAAAUAUAGUAAAUAUUGAACAACACACACACACACACACACACGUACACACACACCCCUGCAGGCUAGACAUGGCUCUUGGUCUGCCAGACUUUGGUCUAAAGGCAAAAAAAAGUUAAGAACUAUUGCAUCUUUCAAUUUGAUUCUCAUAAAAACCUGUGAGGUAUUAUAAUAUUUUUAAAAAUUUACCUUUACAGGCAUUUUGAAAUGCUAAUGAAAUAAACUAUAUCAAGUCCCAAAUAUGAUGUUUGGCACAGUGCAGAUUAAUAAAUGUCAGUUGUCUUCCCUUCUCCUUUUUCUCACUUUACAAAUGAUGUGCAAAAGAGUUAAAUGACACUAAAUGUCACAUAAGAAUGUAUCGGAUCUAGUUGUGGUUUUGAUUUGCAUUUCCCUAAUAAUUAGUGAUGUUGAACAUCUUUUCACAUGGCUGUUGGCCAUUUUAUAUCUUCUUUGGAAAAAUACUUGUGACAACAUGCAUGGACCUUAAGGGUAUUAUGCUAAGCAAAAUGAGUCAGAUGGAGAAAGCCAAAUAUUGUAUGAUUUCACUCAUAUGUGGAAUAUAAAAUGACAACAAAUAAACACAUAGAUACAGAGAACAGAUUGGUUACCAGAAGGGAAGGGGGAAGAAGGGAGGGUGAAAGGGGUAAAAGGGCACAUGUAUAUGGUGACGGAUGACAGCUAGACUUUUGGUGGUGAACACAAUGUAAUCUACACAGAAGUCAAAAUAUAAUGAUGUAAAACUGAAAUUUAUAUAAUGUUGUAAACCAAUGUUACCUCAAUAAAAAUUUUGAAAAUCUUUGUCAUAGUAAUAUGUAAAAAAUUUAAAAAAUAAAGAGAGAAGAAUGUAUCAGAACCUGA